rnacentral:rRNA from 1 species
GAUGAACGCUAGCGGCGGGCUUAAUACAUGCAAGUCAAGGGGUAGCAAUACACCGGCGUACGGGUGCGUAACGCGUAUGGAACCUGCCCUUAUCUGGGGGAUAACUCGGGGAGACUCGAGCUAAUACCGCAUAAGAUAGUAGAAUGGCAGCAUUCAGCUAUUAAAGAUUUAUCGGAUAAGGAUGGCCAUGCGUAAGAUUAGAUAGUUGGUGGGGUAACGGCUCACCAAGUCUACGAUCUUUAGGGGCUCUGAGAGGAGAAUCCCCCACACUGGCACUGAGAUACGGGCCAGACUCCUACGGGAGGCAGCAGUAGGGAAUAUUGGGCAAUGGGCGGAAGCCUGACCCAGCCACGCCGCGUGCAGGAAGAAGGCCCUCUGGGUUGUAAACUGCUUUUGAUUGGGAAGAAAGCAUCUCAUGCGUGGGAUUUUGACGGUACCAAUCGAAUAAGCCACGGCUAACUACGUGCCAGCAGCCGCCGUAACAC